UUUAGGAAGACGCUAAACAGCUUUUUCUUAACUUGAAAGGAUAUUCAAACACAUUCUGAGAAAAUGGAUCUACUCAUGAUCACAUGUGUCUUAGCAUCGAUAUCCUGUAUGUAUUUUUUGAUACUCUCUACACCCUUUUAAUUAAAUCAUAUUGCUUAUUGUGACACAUUAUUAAAUCAAAUAUAUUUUUUCACAGAUGUUGACUCUCAGCCUCCGCUGCUAACACCAACUACUCUUUCAGUGAAUAAAGAACAAAUUACAACAUUUAACUGUGAUGUUGGAAUUAAAGAUGGUUAUGUUACAGCUUUCUAUCGACAGUCACCAGGAGAGGCUCCACAGCUUUUGCUAUAUCAUCACCAUUCAUACACAGAACCUAAAUUUGGACCUGGAAUGUCAUCAGCACAUUAUGGCUGCACUAUAAACAGUGCUGGGACACAGUAUCAACUGAUUAUCAAAAACACAGACACCUCGGAUACUGGUUUUAUUUAUUGUUUUAAAUAUUAUGCGAAUGCAGGAUAC